rnacentral:rRNA from 1 species
UACGUAGGUGGCAAGCGUUGUCCGGAUUUAUUGGGUUUAAAGGGUGCGUAGGUGGUCUAUUAAGUCAGUGCUGAAAUAUCCCGGCUUAACCGGGAGGGUGGCAUUGAUACUGAUGGACUUGAGUAAAGUUGAGGUGGGCGGAAUUGACGGUGUAGCGGUGAAAUGCUUAGAUAUCGUCAAGAACCCCUAUUGCGAAGGCAGCUCACUAAGCUUUAACUGACACUGAGGCACGAAAGUGUGGGGAUCAAACAGG